rnacentral:tRNA from 1 species
GGAUUGUGGCUCUGUGGUAGAGUGCUUGCCUCACAUGUGUGAGGCACUGGGUUUGAUUCUCAGCACCA